rnacentral:rRNA from 1 species
UACAGAGGUCCCAAGCGUUGUUCGGAUUCAUUGGGCGUAAAGGGUGCGUAGGCGGCAGGGUAAGUUGGAUGUGAAAUCCUGGGGCUUAACCUCAGAAUUGCAUUCAAUACUGCCUUGCUAGAGAGCUGUAGAGGAGACUGGAAUUUACGGUGUAGCAGUGAAAUGCGUAGAUAUCGUAAGGAAGACCAGUGGCGAAGGCGGGUCUCUGGACAGUUCCUGACGCUGAGGCACGAAGGCCAGGGGAGCAAACGGG